UACGAGCGGCCCAACCGUUAUUCGGAAUUACUGGGCUUAAAGAGUUCGUAGGCGGCGCAGAAAGUAGGGUGUGAAAGCCCUCGGCUCAACCGAGGAAUUGCGCUCUAAACUACUGUGCUCGAGGAACCUAGAGGUGAGCAGAACUGAUGGUGGAGCGGUGAAAUGCGUUGAUAUCAUCAGGAAUACCGGAGGCGAAGGCGGCUCACUGGGGGUUUUCUGACGCUGAGGAACGAAAGCCAGGGGAGCGAACGGG
rnacentral:rRNA from 1 species